GUUCUGGGCCGCACGCGCGCUACACUGACGGAGCCAGCAAGUAUAUCCUUGGUCGAGAGGCCCGGGUAAUCUCGUGAAACUCCGUCGUGCUGGGGAUAGAGCAUUGUAAUUUUUGCUCUUCAACGAGGAAUUCCUAGUAAGCGCAAGUCAUCAGCUUGCGUUGAUUACGUCCCUGCCCUUUGUACACACCGCCCGUCGCUACUACCGAUUGAAUGGCUUAGUGAGGCUCCAAGAUUGGCGCCGCGGGAGGGGCAACUUUCCCAUGGCGCUGAAAAUUCAGUCAAACUUGGUCAUUUAGAGGUCGUAAAAGUCGUAACAAGGUUUCCGUAGGUGAACCUGCGGAAGGAUCAUUACUGUGAUUUAUAUCUUAUACACAUGCGUGAGCGCACCAAACACCUAAAAUUGUAAUACUAAUUGUCAGUAAGUUUUAACAAAACAAAACUUUCAACAACGGAUCUCUUGGUUCUCGCAUCGAUGAAGAGCGCAGCGAAAUGCGAUACCUAGUGUGAAUUGCAGCCAUCGUGAAUCAUCGAGUUCUUGAACGCACAUUGCGCCCCAUGGUAUUCCAUGGGGCAUGCCUGUCUGAGCGUCGUUUCCUUCUUGCGCAAGCAGAGUUGAGAACAGGCUAUGCCUUUUUCGAAAUGGAACGUCGUGGACGAAGUGAACUAAACAUUUAGCACGCUUUGGCCGCCGAACUUUUAACUAAGCUCGACCUCAGAUCAGGUAGGAAUACCCGCUGAACUUAAGCAUAUCAAUAAGCGGAGGAAAAGAAACCCACAGGGAUUGCCUUAAUAGCGGCGAGUGAAGCGGCAAGAGCUCAAAUUUGAAAUCUCCCUAGUGUGCGAGUUGUAAAUUGCAGGUUGGAGUCUCGGGUUAACGUGGGGUGCAGUCCCCUUGGAACAGGGGGCCCUGAGGGGGAAAGCCCCCUAUC
rnacentral:rRNA from 1 species